UACGGAGGGGGCAAGCGUUGUUCGGAAUUACUGGGCGUAAAGGGCGCGUAGGCGGCUAGCUAAGUCCGACGUGAAAUCCCAAAGCUUAACUUUGGAACUGCGUCGGAUACUGGAUGGCUUGAAUUCGGGAGAGGGAUGCAGAAUUCCAGGUGUAGCGGUGAAAUGCGUAGAUAUCUGGAGGAAUACCGGUGGCGAAGGCGGCAUCCUGGACCAUUACUGACGCUGAGGCGCGAAAGCUAGGGGAGCAAACGGG
rnacentral:rRNA from 1 species